GGAAUUAGCUCAGCUGGAUAGAGCGUCGGUCUACGAAACCGAAGGUCGCAGGUUCGACUCCUGCAUUCCG
rnacentral:tRNA from 1 species